UUCUCAGUGAACAGACAAGCUUCAGUCAUGAAGAAGUAAAAACUCUAAUGAAAUGCACUUACUACUCUCAGCGCAAAGCAAUAAAUAGCGGAUCAGACAUGCAAACCAUCAUAGAAGAGUGGCCUUUUUUGUUUCAGGCGAUUGGAAUGACAGUCCACUUUGAAGAACUUACUGGGGUACCGCUGAAAGAGACUUUUCUCACCAGUCUGGAAAAGAAGGGAAAACGGCUUCUGGACUUUCUGAAAAACACUUGUGCAGACAAGAGCAAGCGUGUCUUGGAGGCUGUCAUAAAGCUUCGAAUGCAGAGGGGACAGCUGAAGGGCUGCUCAGAAGACGUGAAAGAUAUGAUGCUCCUCCUUCUCUCCUAUUUCGAUGAAAAAGAGGAGACCCUCUUCCACUAUGUUGAUGAAACAUGUCUGGCAAAAGAAGUCCAUGUGGAAAGCCUGCCUGUGACACCAUGUAUCAUUGUUUGUGGAUCCUCCUGCUUUGCAUCGAGACUGUUCAUGCUCAGCAUUGACCACAAAGUCGUGAAUGACCAAAUAACUGACUUCAUCUCUGCAAUCUGUCUGAUGCUUGGUAGCUACUACUGCCUGAACAUCCACUAUCCACUGGAACUUGGCUCCACACUUGAAUUCCUUCAGAGACACUGAAUUUGAGCAGAAACCAUAAGGAUACUCAAAGGACCUGUGACUCUCAGGAAAUGCAUCAAAUGAGAGUGACAGGUGAAACAGUUUCAAGACAAUGGCAGGAAAAGCAUGCUGAAGAUUGAAUCAAACCUUGGCUGGAAAUAUUUGAAGGGAUCUAGCCAGUCCUCAAUGAAAGCUUCGUUGCCCCCCUGUGAGUCUUCUGGCAGAAAUGAUGGCGCCUGUAUUCUUUGGUUUCCCUAAACAUCACACCCUGUUUAUACGAGGCUCUUCAAUUAAGUCUGCACCCAAAGAUUCAAUAAGAGAGGGGAUCCUGCCAGUCCAAAGUGAACUCCUGAUGGACAUUGAAGUACUCCUGCAGAGC